rnacentral:rRNA from 1 species
UACAGAGGGUGCUAGCGUUGUUCGGAAUCAUUGGGCGUAAAGGGCGUGUAGGCGGUUUGUUAAGUCAUGUGUGAAAUCCCUCGGCUCAACCGGGGAACGACGCAUGAAACUGGCAAGCUAGAGUACCAAAGAGGGGGUGGAAUUCCCGGUGUAGCGGUGAAAUGCGUAGAGAUCGGGAGGAACACCAGAGGCGAAAGCGGCGACCUGGACAAGUACUGACACUCAACUACGAAAGCGUGGGGAGCAAACAGG